UGCAGCGAGGCGCUCCUAGGUGUGCGAAGCAGGCAGUUGAGGGGUGUACCCGCCAGCCAGGACCUGGGCCGCCUGUCCGAUAGGGGGAGGGAGCUGAUCUGGUCGGAAAGGUCAGGACUGAAGCAACAGUGCAAAGAAAAACAGCCUGAGGCCCACAGAUGGCAGAUGACGCGUAUGUAUAAAAGUCACUUUUAAAUUAGGAAACUUGUCACAACCUUAGUCUGAGUGCAUUCCCUGGCUCCUGGACCCGAGCCCAGCCCGGGUGGCUU
rnacentral:lncRNA from 1 species